rnacentral:tRNA from 1 species
GAAGGUAUAGCUCAGUGGUAGAGCACAUGCUUAGCAUGCACGAGGUCCUGGGUUCAAUCCCUAGUACCUUCA